rnacentral:rRNA from 1 species
UGCGUAGGUGGUCUGUCAAGUCCGAUGUGAAAGCCCUGGGCUCAACCUGGGAACUGCAUUGGAAACUGGCAGUCUGGAGUGCGGUAGAGGGUAGCGGAAUUCCCGGUGUAGCAGUGAAAUGCGUAGAUAUCGGGAGGAACAUCCGUUGGCGAAGGCGGCUACCUGGACCAGCACUGACACUGAGGCACGAAAGCGUGGGGAGCAAACA